rnacentral:rRNA from 1 species
CCUACGGGAGGCUGCAGUAAGGAAUAUUGGUCAAUGGAGGAAACUCUGAACCAGCCAUCCCGCGUGAAGGAUGAAGGGGCUCUGCCUUGUAAACUUCUUUUGUCUGGGGCGAAAAAGCUCGAUUUAUCGAGAACUGACGGUACCAGAAGAAUAAGCACCGGCUAACUCCGUUCCAGCAGCCGCGGUAAGACGGAGGGUGCAAGCGUUACCCGGAAUAAAGGGUGUUAAAGGGGCUGUAUACGGCAGAGGAGAAAGGCUGUGGCUUAACCAUGGAAUUGCCAUGGAUACUGCAGAGCUUGAAUGAGGUUGAGGUUGGCGGAAUGUGACAUGUAGCGGUGAAAUGCUUAGAUAUGUCAUGGAACACCGAUUGCGAAGGCAGCUGACUGGACCUAUAUUGACGCUGAGGCACGAAAGCGUGGGGAGCGAACAGGAUUAGAUACCCCAGUAGUC